GCCCUCACUUUGGCAGCACAUAUUUUAAAUAUUGGAACAAUACAGAGAAGAUUGGCAUGGCCCCUACACAAGAAUGACACACAAAUUUGUCAAGUGUUCCAUAUUUUU